GAUAGCUGGCGGCGUGCCUACACAUGCAAGUCGAGCGAUCUCUUCGGAGAGAGCGGCGGACGGGUGAGUAACGCGUGGGUAACCUGCCCUGUACACACGGAUAACAUACCGAAAGGUAUACUAAUACGGGAUAACAUACGAAAGUCGCAUGGCUUUUGUAUCAAAGCUCCGGCGGUACAGGAUGGACCCGCGUCUGAUUAGCUAGUUGGUAAGGUAAUGGCUUACCAAGGCAACGAUCAGUAGCCGACCUGAGAGGGUGAUCGGCCACACUGGAACUGAGACACGGUCCAGACUCCUACGGGAGGCAGCAGUGGGGAAUAUUGCACAAUGGGCGAAAGCCUGAUGCAGCAACGCCGCGUGAGCGAUGAAGGCCUUCGGGUCGUAAAGCUCUGUCCUCAAGGAAGAUAAUGACGGUACUUGAGGAGGAAGCCCCGGCUAACUACGUGCCAGCAGCCGCGGUAAUACGUAGGGGGCUAGCGUUAUCCGGAAUUACUGGGCGUAAAGGGUGCGUAGGUGGUUUUUUAAGUCAGAAGUGAAAGGCUACGGCUCAACCGUAGUAAGCUUUUGAAACUAGAGAACUUGAGUGCAGGAGAGGAGAGUAGAAUUCCUAUUGUAGCGGUGAAAUGCGUAGAUAUUAGGGAGGAAUACCAGUAUCGAAGGCGGUUCUCUGGAAUGUUACUGACCCUGAGGCACGAAAGCUUGGGGGAGCCAAAAGGAUUAUAUACCCUUUUUAUUCCACGCCCGUUAACAUUGAAUUACUUAGGUUGUCGGGGAGUUACCCCAC
rnacentral:rRNA from 1 species